rnacentral:rRNA from 1 species
AUACGUAGGGUGCGAGCGUUGUCCGGAAUUACUGGGCGUAAAGAGCUCGUAGGUGGUUUGUCGCGUCGUCUGUGAAAUUCCGGGGCUUAACUCCGGGCGUGCAGGCGAUACGGGCAUAACUUGAGUACUGUAGGGGAGACUGGAAUUCCUGGGGUAGCGGUGAAAUGCGCAGAUAUCAGGAGGAACACCGGUGGCGAAGGCGGGUCUCGGGGCAGUAACUGACGCUGAGGAGCGAAAGCAUGGGUAGCGAACAGGAUUAGAUACCCUGGUAGUCCAUGCCGUAAACGGUGGGCGCUAGGUGUAGGGGUCUUCCACGACUUCUGUGCCGUAGCUAACGCAUUAAGCGCCCCGCCUGGGGAGUACGGCCGCAAGGCUAAAACUCAAAGGAAUUGACGGGG